rnacentral:rRNA from 1 species
CCUACGGGAGGCAGCAGUGAGGAAUAUUGGUCAAUGGACGAGAGUCUGAACCAGCCAAGUAGCGUGAAGGAUGACUGCCCUAUGGGUUGUAAACUUCUUUUAUAUGGGAAUAAAAUGUUCCACGUGUGGGAUUUUGUAUGUACCAUAUGAAUAAGGAUCGGCUAACUCCGUGCCAGCAGCCGCGGUAAUACGGAGGAUCCGAGCGUUAUCCGGAUUUAUUGGGUUUAAAGGGAGCGUAGGUGGAUUGUUAAGUCAGUUGUGAAAGUUUGCGGCUCAACCGUAAAAUUGCAGUUGAAACUGGCAGUCUUGAGUAUAGUAGAGGUGGGCGGAAUUCGUGGUGUAGCGGUGAAAUGCUUAGAUAUCACGAAGAACUCCGAUUGCGAAGGCAGUUCACUGGACUGCAACUGACACUGAGGCUCGAAAGUGUGGGUAUCAAACAGGAUUAGAUACCCGAGUAGUC